rnacentral:rRNA from 1 species
GCUUAUGCAACGCAAACAACCUUACGAUUGGCUUGACGUGUCCCUGAUCUGUGGGAAACUGCAUAGUGCCCUAAGGAACGCUAACACACGUGGUGCAUGGCUGUCCUCAGCUCGUGUCACUGACAUGUUGGGUGAAGUCCCGCAACGAGCGCAACCCUCGUCCUUAAUUGCCACCCUUAAAUGGGGCACUCUACGGAGACUGCCGGUGACAAACCGGAGGAAGGUGGGGAUGACGUCAAGUCAUCAUGCCCCUUAGCUCCUGGGCUACUCACGUACUACAAUGGUACGGACCAAUGGCAACGAACUUGCGAAAGUAAUCUAAUCUCAUCCAACCCUAGCUCAGUUCAGAUUGCACGCUGCAACUCGCCUGCUUGAGUGAAGAAUCGCUAGUAAUCCCAGGUCGCCAUACUGCGGUGAAUCCGUUCCCGGGCCUUGUACACCCCGCCCGUCACACCAUGGAAGCUGGCCACGCCCGAAGUCCUUACCCCAACCAUUAUGGACGGGGAUGCCGAAUGCCGGGCUAGUGACUGGGGUGAAGUCAUAACCCGGUAACCGUACCGGAAGGUGUGGCUGGAUCACCUCCUUCAAGCCA